AUUGUUCAUCUAGUAUCUUCUUUUCAUUUUGCCUUAUUUAGACACGACCCGCCUCUCCUAAAGCUCACGCUCCAAUGGAAAAUUUCUCUGCCGCAUCGAAGGCGGCAAAGCUUUCUCUUUCUUCGUGUUUAUCUCAAAUCCGAACUCUGGCUCUUCAUUAUCCAUAAAAUUCCCAAACUAAAUUUACCUUAUGGCAAUAAACCUAAUUUAUGA